ensembl:lncRNA
AUGAACGUCAUAUGGGUGUGGGCUGUGGGUUAAGAACUGUACAUACAUUUUAAUUCCAGAUGUACCCUUCAGAUUGGCAUGACUUCUAUAAAGUUACUUUAACUUUUCAGAGCCUAAAACAUAUCAUCCAUGAGAUCCAUUUUAUUCAGCAAAUAAAUUUUUAGAAAAUAUUCAUUAAUCUCUUAGUAUGGCCACAUUGUACUACAUGCUGGGGACAUACAUAUUGUAUUUGCUCUCAAGGUACCUAAAGUGAAGCUGAGGACAAUGUGCCCAUUUAUAAUUACACACUUGAAUGUGGCAAGGUGGCCCGUCAAGUGUGUUUACAUGAGCCGAUGGAAGCAUAAGAGGGGCAAUCAAAUCUGCCUCCCUUAGUGGGUGUCCAGGGGAAAGCAAUGUCUGCCCUAGUUGUGAGAGUAGGGAGGAGUUGGAGAAAAGUUACUCUAGGUAAGGGCUUCCCUGGUGAUUCUUUCUCAGAUGAGCCACAAGGGAAGCCCAUUGUCCUCAGAAGUUCCUCUUUAUUGUGAGUUAGAGAACAAUGAGUCAAAAUAGUAUUUAAACAAACAUAAUUGUAAAUGAUUUGAAUAUCAUAUGUUUCUCUGAAAAGUAUUUCUUAUUGCUAACAGAAGAAAUUUGGAUGAAAGAAGAAAUGUUUGCGCACCAAAAGUAAACAACAAAAAUCCACCCAAAACCCUGAACAAAAACAAGAACUGAAGCUCAGAAUCAGACUUUCUUGCUAAAGAGAGAAAGGCCUCUUUAGCCAUUUGGAAAAAACUGAUAUAGCUAUGAGUUUUACAUGAGUGAAAUAGCUCAGAAAUACAAUUGUAUCAAAUGUGAACUUUCUCCUUGUUAGAGUCUGUUAAGAAGAAUCUGAUAGUAUGUUUGAACAUCAUCUUAAUUCUUAUAUUGUGCUCAACACAAGAGUACUUCUUACUGUCAUUUACAGCAGAUGGCAGUGUUUGUGAAAAGAAGCACCAUUAGAGCAGAGAAGUCACAUAUUAGAUAAUCUUCUCAAAAGUAGCUUCUUUUUGCUUCUUAAAAUAAAAGUGAACAUGAAUAAAGAUGUUCAAAUGAAUAAACAUGGCCCAAAAUGCAUAUCAGAUUGUAAUAAAAGCUCUCAGGGAAAAUGAGUCAAGAUAAGGGACAGGAAAUGCUAUGCUUUCAAAUUAAUGUAGCAGGAGUCAAAGAAGACUUCAGUGAGAAAUAUAUGCAUAUAUAUCCUUGUACUGAGCAUCCCUGAACUGUAUCCUCAGUGUCAAAACUCAAGAAAAUUAUGUCCAUCAACCAGAAAUUAUAGAACUGUCUUCAGUCUUAACUAUGC